rnacentral:rRNA from 1 species
UAUACCGUGAAACUGCGAAUGGCUCAUUAAAUCAGUUAUCGUUUAUUUGAUAAUACCUUACUACUUGGAUAACCGUGGUAAUUCUAGAGCUAAUACAUGCUGAAAACCCCGACUUCGGAAGGGAUGUGUUUAUUAGAUAAAAAACCAAUGCCCUUCGGGGCUUUUUGGUGAUUCAUGAUAACUUUACGGAUCGCAUAGCCUUGCGCUGGCGACGGUUCAUUCAAAUUUCUGCCCUAUCAACUUUCGAUGGUAAGGUAUUGGCUUACCAUGGUUUCAACGGGUAACGGGGAAUUAGGGUUCGAUUCCGGAGAGGGAGCCUGAGAAACGGCUACCACAUCCAAGGAAGGCAGCAGGCGCGCAAAUUACCCAAUCCCGACACGGGGAGGUAGUGACAAUAAAUACUGAUACAGGGCUCUUUUGGGUCUUGUAAUUGGAAUGAGUACAAUUUAAACCUCUUAACGAGGAACAAUUGGAGGGCAAGUCUGGUGCCAGCAGCCGCGGUAAUUCCAGCUCCAAUAGCGUAUAUUAAAGUUGUUGCAGUUAAAAAGCUCGUAGUUGAAACUUGGGCCUGGCUGGCGGGUCCGCCUCACCGCGUGCACUCGUCCGGCCGGGCCUUCCUUCUGAAGAACCUCAUGCCCUUCACUGGGCGUGUUGGGGAAUCAGGACUUUUACUUUGAAAAAAUUAGAGUGUUCAAAGCAGGCCUUUGCUCGAAUACGUUAGCAUGGAAUAAUAAAAUAGGGCGUGCGUUUCUAUUUUGUUGGUUUCUAGAGACGCCGCAAUGAUUAACAGGAACAGUCGGGGGCAUCAGUAUUCAGUUGUCAGAGGUGAAAUUCUUGGAUUUACUGAAGACUAACUACUGCGAAAGCAUUUGCCAAGGAUGUUUUCAUUAAUCAGUGAACGAAAGUUAGGGGAUCGAAGACGAUCAGAUACCGUCGUAGUCUUAACCGUAAACUAUGCCGACUAGGGAUCGGGCGAUGUUCUUUUUCUGACUCGCUCGGCACCUUACGAGAAAUCAAAGU